rnacentral:sRNA from 1 species
GGCUGUGCGGUUGAUUUGGCUGGUCUGGCUGGCAAGGUGUAUGUGCCCUACCUCCCUCAUGGCUCCACACUCAUUCCUCCUCAAGAUCUGAGCUUAGCUGGUUGAAGAAGACAGCUUUCCCAGUUAUAGGUGGAUGGCCUCCCACCAUAGAGGAGGACUAUGUUUAGGUCAAAGGUAGCCACAAUCCCUGAUAGACCCUCCUAGUGAGCUCUCUAAGGGUGUCAAAAAGCACUAUGCAAAUGAUAUUAUAAUGAAGCCAAGGUCUCCUGAGAGUACAGCU